rnacentral:rRNA from 1 species
GACGAACGCUGGCGGCGUGCUUAACACAUGCAAGUCGAACGGAAAGGCCCUGCUUUCGGGGUGCUCGCGUGGCGAACGGGUGAGUAACACGUGGGUGAUCUGCCCCUUACUUUGGGAUAAGCCUGGGAAACUGGGUCUAAUACUGGAUAGAAGCAUGCUUGAGGCGGUGUGGUGGAAAGAUUAUUUUCGGUAAGGGGGGAGCUCGCGGCCUAUCAGCUGGUUGGUGGGGUAAUGGCGGACCAAGGCGUCUACGGGUAGACGGCCUGAGAGGGUGGACGGCGACAUGGGGACUGCGAUAAGGCGCAGCAGACGACGAGAGGCAGCAGUGGGGGAUAGUGUGAAAGGGGGGCAAGACUGAUGUAGCGACGCCGCGUGGGGGAUGAAGGCCUUCGGGUUGUGAACACCUUCUAGCCAUGAAGAAGACCUUGUGGUGACGGUAGUGGUAGAAGAAGCACCGGCUAACUACGUG